AGCGGCGGACGGGUGAGUAAUGCCUGGGAAAUUGCCCUGAUGUGGGGGAUAACCAUUGGAAACGAUGGCUAAUACCGCAUAAUAGCUUCGGCUCAAAGAGGGGGACCUUCGGGCCUCUCGCGUCAGGAUAUGCCCAGGUGGGAUUAGCUAGUUGGUGAGGUAAUGGCUCACCAAGGCGACGAUCCCUAGCUGGUCUGAGAGGAUGAUCAGCCACACUGGAACUGAGACACGGUCCAGACUCCUACGGGAGGCAGCAGUGGGGAAUAUUGCACAAUGGGCGCAAGCCUGAUGCAGCCAUGCCGCGUGUGUGAAGAAGGCCUUCGGGUUGUAAAGCACUUUCAGUCGUGAGGAAGGUGGUGUAGUUAAUAGCUGCAUCAUUUGACGUUAGCGACAGAAGAAGCACCGGCUAACUCCGUGCCAGCAGCCGCGGUAAUACGGAGGGUGCGAGCGUUAAUCGGAAUUACUGGGCGUAAAGCGCAUGCAGGUGGUUAGUUAAGUCAGAUGUGAAAGCCCGGGGCUCAACCUCGGAACUGCAUUUGAAACUGGCUGACUAGAGUACUGUAGAGGGGGGUAGAAUUUCAGGUGUAGCGGUGAAAUG
rnacentral:rRNA from 1 species